rnacentral:rRNA from 1 species
GACGAACGCUGGCGGCGUGCUUAACACAUGCAAGUCGAACGAUGAUCUCCCGCUUGCGGGGGUGAUUAGUGGCGAACGGGUGAGUAAUACGUGAGUAACCUGCCCUUGACUCUGGGAUAAGCCUGGGAAACCGGGUCUAAUACUGGAUACUACUUCCUGCCGCAUGGUGGGGGGUGGAAAGGGUUUUACUGGUUUUGGAUGGGCUCACGGCCUAUCAGCUUGUUGGUGGAGUAAUGGCUCACCAAGGCGACGACGGGUAGCCGGCCUGAGAGGGUGACCGGCCACACUGGGACUGAGACACGGCCCAGACUCCGACGGGAGGCAGCAGGGGGGAAUAUUGCACAAUGGGCGGAAGCCUGAUGCAGCGACGCCGCGUGAGGGAGGACGGCCUUCGGGUUGGAAACCUCUUUCAGCAGGGAAGAAGCCACAAGUGACGGUACCUGCAGAAGAAGCGCCGGCUAACUACGUG